UUUACAUGCUAUCUGUGAAACUAAAGAACAUUAUGUACCUCGUAAGCAUAAUUAGAUAUUUCUUUAUGCUUAGCAGCGAAAUAGAAUAUCGUAACUCCUUCGGCCUUAGAUGAAAUUAUAUUGUUGCGGCUUGAUUUUUAGCGCACAGCGGCAACGCAGCCUCCAACGUUUUUGGGACGCCUAGCUCGAUACUUCGAGAACGAACGGCAAUAGCAUAGAUAAAGGCGAGAUAAAGACGGCUGAGAGCAGAGCCAAGGAACGACAAGACAAGACAAUGCGUAUUGGAGGAACACAACCUCCAUACCAUAGACACUUUAUUUUCAUUUCCCAUUUUGGAAUAUGGCGCAGUCCAGUGACGUCAUGGCCAAGAAAAUGAUGUAUAUCUUGUCGUGUAUUCGGUGUACCAUCGACUGUUGCGCGUCGGUUUUUACCAUGUAUUCUGUGUGUGAUGACUUAAAUGACAGUUGUUGAAUAAAAGCCACUAGCGCAUAUUAGGCCAGGUGACUCCCUGUUUAAAUGACAUGCGCAAGUAAGUUUUGCCGUUAGAUUUAAAUUUUAAGUUGAUAACGAUUAGAACUAUCACGUUAAUUUGAUUUAAUGAUGACUAAGAGUUUGAAAAUACCAGCACCUUUUACUUACCAUCAUUUUAGUAGUAAUUUAAUUAAUAUGGAGUCGUCGAGAGUAAAUCUGACGAGAACAAUCUUCGUUUGUUCAAUAUGUGCUACACAAUUCACAAAAUCGUGCAAUCUAAGUAGGCACAUGAAGAAUAAACACGACAUUUCCACUCGAGACCUAAAAGCAACGCUAAAAUGUCCGCUAUGUGAGAACAAGAGGGCUACUUAUACUUGAAACACACUUAACUCGUGAACAUGAUUUGGAGAUUACGUCUACCAAAUUAAAUUUUGACUCGAAAGAACUUUUUCAACAAUGGAAAAUCGGCGUUGAGAAAGAAACCAUAUCGUUUUUUGUAUCUAGAGGAAAUACAGGUAAUUUUGUGCAGUAUAGUUGUCACCGAUCAGGGCUAUAUGUACCAAAGCCUAACGCAGCUGUACGCCAACGCGCAAUUAAGGUCAAAGGAUCAAAUAAAAUAGGAGCUUGUUGCCCAGCUAGAAUUGAAAU
rnacentral:lncRNA from 1 species